CUAUUCAGCAACGAUCUGUACACUGCCUGACAUUUUUGUUUGAGCAGCUUCAGUAUUAUCUUCAUCUAAUUGCUUGUCAAGUUGCUAAUUGGAGUCUUCAGAUUCUUAGUCACAUUGUAGGUCAGUAAAUCUGAUUGUGUGACACAUUUGAGUGUUCAUCUGAAAGUUAAGUCUAGAUCGCUAGAGAAUGAUCCUGAUACAUGGAAACAAUCUGAUUUAUUCAUUGUGCGAUUACUUAGACCGGGCACCUGGCCUGCACCUUGCUUCAGAUCCACAAAUUGUCAAGCGCACAUGGUACAACCAUCAAGUUCUGGGAUAUUAGCUGGCUUCAAGUCUUCAAGUGCAGGCAGUCUUUUAACAAAGGAUGGAUGCGAGUAGUGAUAUGCUGAAUACCAUGGAUGUAUGUUCACUGAAGAUAAGUUCUCUUCCUGAAACUUACAAGCACAAACUUCCUUAGUCAACUCAAAGCUAAGCACGGUUAUAAACAAGAUGCUUUAAUAUAAUCAAUACUGCUUGAAUUUAUAACAGUUUCCAACACUAUCCGAGUCUUUGAGCCAUUCUCUAAAAAUAAAAAUAAACACCUUGAGUGCUUUCUUACCAGUGCCUCUGAUCAAGUUUGGUUUUUUUCUAACCUUAUUAUAAUCCAGUAUUUAAUAUGCCAUCUAAUGAUCCAAGGUCUUUACAGGGAAAACAAUGGCAGUUUUAAUGCAAGUUCACUGAACGACUACCAUAUCUUUAUGUAGCAUUUGAUUGCUUGGAUGAAGUUGGAUGGGAGAUCCCCAUCCAGCUUUUAAAAGUUGGUGUAGGUGUUGCAGCUUCUUCAGUGCAGUAUACACUGGCAACUGGGAGCACACUUGAAUUACAUGGUUUCUCCAUUCAGCCCGCUUGCUUGUUGUUAAUGUCCAUCUUUUUUGAGCUAUCGUGCUGAAACUUUAAUCUAUUGUGCAGAAUACAUUUCUUCAGAGAACCCGUUGUUGUGUGCAGAAUAUAUUUCUUCAGAGAAUGUGUUAUUGUGCAGAAACUACAAUGAAGUUGUCGGUGGAGAAGAUCCGGUGAACCCAACUACGUCGGGUUGGUUCAAAGUCCGAUCAGGUCCUUCCAACGGUCUAUUGUGCGUCGAAGGUCACGUUCAUCUCUGGCAAAUUCCAUCGCAGCCUCGGUCGUACGUGUGCUUCGAUCUAUUUUCGUAUUGUUUUCUUGGGCGUUUGGCAAAUGCUUCACAUACUAAGCUAAACAUGCACAACUAUGUAAGAUAGUUUCACAUGUCUCUUAUGUUCUUGCAGUUUGACAUCCAUUGCCAAUUUGUAUUGUUUCUAAACUAAAAUGAUUCCCUCUUGUUCACUGAUUAUCUAUGAACUAAAAUCAUGUCCCGCUCCUGUACUACAUUGGUCUUUCAUAUGCUGGUUGUGCACACAUGGCAUUAGCUUGUCCAUUUCUACUUUAUUUGUCCAGUUCACUGGAAAUGAAAAUACCGCCUGAACCUUUUAUGCUUACCUAUUAAGCUUACCUGCAAUGUCCACUCCUAUUGUUCUCUGACCUGUCAAACAAUAAGAGUUGGUGCAGCUAGCUGCUGAAAAGGAGAUGACUGUGGUCCUCUUGACAACGAAGAUGAAGACGCAGUAGACCAAGCCUUGUGUGUUCUCCACUCGCAUGCACAACGAGUUCCGCAAGAUGGCCAAUGCUGUCAAGAACCAGGUCACUGGAAGCUACUACAUGCCUGACUUGACCAAACCCGCUCUUGCAAGACUUUCAAUUUACUGCAACCUCCGAGUUUCCAAAUACGGUGUCAAGAAAAAGAAGAAGAAAGUCCAUUUUACUACCCUGAACAAAGUUGGUGGUUCACAUUACCCCUGAUCUAUUUUUCUGCUCUUGGGUGGUUUGUCUCAA